AACGAACGCUGGCGGCAUGCCUAACACAUGCAAGUCGAACGAGACCUUCGUGUCUAGUGGCGCACGGGUGCGUAACGCGUGGGAACCUGCCCUUAGGUUCGGAAUAACUCCCCGAAAGGGGUGCUAAUACCGGAUAAUGUCUUCGGACCAAAGAUUUAUCGCCUUUGGAUGGGCCCGCGUUGGAUUAGCUAGUUGGUAGGGUAAAAGCCUACCAAGGCGACGAUCCAUAGCUGGUCUGAGAGGAUGAUCAGCCACACUGGGACUGAGACACGGCCCAGAAUACUACGGGAGGGAGCAGUGGGGAAUAUUGGAAAAUGGGCGAAAGCCUGAUCCAGCAAUGCCGCGUGAGUGAUGAAGGCCUUAGGGUUGUAAAGCUCUUUUACCCGGGAUGAUAAUGACAGUACCGGGAGAAUAAGCUCCGGCUAACUCCGUG
rnacentral:rRNA from 1 species